UUAACUAUAGAUAGUUUGGCGGCCAAAAAUAAAUAUAAGGGGGUUUGGCUGCAAAUUACCCUAAAAAUUAAGUAACAAAUAUUUCAAAUACAAUAUUAAAUUCAUAUGAAUAUCAAAAUACAAAGUUUCUCUUUAAUAUCAUGAAAGUCAUGUGAAUCUAGAUUAAAUUUUUCAGCAAUUUCUUUUUCAAUAUAUACUAAUUACUUCAAAAUUUAUCUACUAGAAGCAAAAAAAAAAAGAAAAUUCUAUCCCUUCCUUCUCUCAGUGAUUCUCGCCAAUUUACGGCGAAGGGAGCAAAGUUUACAGGAAAAAAGAAGACUAAGGCUAAGUCUAAGAAAACUGGUCAUUCCUCUUUGGAUCAGAUCAUCAAAACACGUUCAAUGGAUGCUAUUCAGGAAAAGGACAGAGAUGAACUUGAAAAUUUGGGAAAAAUCUGCUCUCUAGAGGAAACUGCGGCAAUUUUUUAGUGACAAAGUGAAAUUAGACAAGAUUUCUCAGAUUGGCUAAGCAUUGGGAAUUGAGCUACGCAGGAAGUAAAUCUAGAGCAAGUGCUUGGAGGAGUUUCUGGGUUCAAUAUUAGAGGGGAGGGGGGAUCAGAUCCCUCAACUUCCAAUGGAUAGAAUCAUUUGGUGGAAUGUUAGAGGGAUUAACAAGCAUUAUAAGCAUCGUGAAAUCAAGCAAUUGAUUAAUUCUAAGAAAGUUAGACUGGUUAGUCUCUUAAAAACUAAGGUAAAGAAUAAAAAUACAGAUACUUUGUAUUGAGUUUAUUUGGGAGUUGGUCCUUUAUAAAUAACAAACCCUUGGAUGCAUAAGGAAAUGAUAAUUGUGGCUUGAAAUCCUAAUAUGUACUCUGAUAUGAAUGUGUAAACUAGUCAAAUGGUUAAUUAUAUUGCUCAAUUGACUCAUCACAAAAGUUGAUUUCAUCAUUACUAGAAAAAAGACAUUUCUUUGGUUGUUAUCCCACUUUGUCUUCACUUUUUAAAAAUACUCGCUCCGACGUCGUUUGAGGAGAAGACUUAGGUUACCAAAACACUGAAGACAUAAAGGGAGCAUGUGUCUUCGGUUAUUACAAAAUAACCAAAGACAUAAGUGAAGCCAAAUUUGACUUUCAGGUGGAGGAAAGACCUACAUCUUCAGUUACAAUGUAAUAAUUGAAGGCAUAGCUUGGUUUCGUCUCACGUUAUUUCGAAGACAUAAGUCUUCCAGUAGUGUGAGAGGAAGAACAUUAUAAUUGAAGACGUAAGUCUUUCCUUUUCUAUAUUUAUUUUUUAAUAAUAUUUUUAAUUUUAAUUAUUAUACAUCAAUUUUUUAAAAAUAACUACAAAUUAAUUAUUAUAAUAAAGAUUAUUUUUGGAAUAAAAAUUAUUUAAAUGAUAUUAUAACAAAGUUAAAAUACUUUACAACAUGCUAAAUCCUUACAAGUGCAAGCAUUAAAGAAAAUUAUUAUAUAGAAUACAAAAUAAGUGUUGUGCCAAUUUCACUAACCACUAAUGUUUCAAUGCUUGCAAGUCCGUCUCCAUAUCAUUAGCGCUCUUUUGAAACUGUAAAAUUAAAAUGUAAGUUAUUACUUAAUUAUAAGUUAAUAUAAUAGAUAUGCAUAUGUAAAUACAUUAAUUAUAUAUCUUACCUUUUCAUUCAUAAUAAUGAAUGGAUUUAGAGCUUUCAACAUGUACAUUAUGUACCUUAAUACAUAAAAACCAAAUUUUAUCUUAAGCACUUGAAAACAUUCGAAGUAACACAUUGAAACCUACGACUUUUCAAUAUGUCCUAUAAAUUAAAUAAUUUAUAUAACAUUCAACUAUUCGAAUUUUAUGCCCUAAAAAAACUUUUUUCAAUAUAAUCAGAUUGUUUUUUUGAACAAGAAAAUAAUCUUCAUUCAAAACAGGCUGAAAAAAAACAGUAAUAAGCUGUACAAGGACAACAUCCACAAAAACCUACACUACGAGCCAGUAAUAACAUUUAUAAUAUACCUCUCCAGAUUUUUUUGCUCGAGUACAACAGUUUAACACUCUAAUUUUAACAGCCCUUUUGACUUCCCUACUAAUAUAACUUGCAGUAUUACAUUUCAAAUCAAAGAUACAACAAUUCCUAUCGAUCCACACAAAGUACAAAGUAGCCAUGACCACAUCAUUCAUAAUUAUAUCACGAAAGCUAUGAGAAGGUCUCGAUAGCCACUCUCUAAUGUUGGUUUACCAAGCAAAAAUUCCACACCAUUUGAUGAUCUCGCUGAUCACUUUGAAAGUGAAGCAGCAGUUAACGAAAAGAUGGGAGUGAGACUCUGUAACAAUAGAGCAAAUAGAGCAUAAAUCUGAAGAUAAAGGCAAAAACCUACUAAGAUGGUCUCUCGUCAGUAGCUAAUCAUUCACAAUAUGCCACCCUAUAAACCUGUGCUUUGGAAUUAUCAUCUUGUUCCAAAUGUUUGCCACAUAUCCAUCUUUUUGAGAUUGGAUGAAUGAAAAGAAGAACAUUUUGGCGUUGAAUUUACCUCUUUUCAUAGCUUCCAUGAGAUCACUUACCCCCAAAGUCGAUCAGAGUCUAAAGAUUUUCUUGAAGUAUCAGCUUGAGUCUUGUUUGAACUCAACCUCCCAAAAGCUUGGACCUUUAAAAUAGAUGGCAUCAAUCCAACGAACCUAGAGAUUGUCUUGUUUGCUCAAAAUGACCCAAAUAUACUUGGAUAUUAGAGUGAUGUUCCAUUUCUUACCCUCUCGAAACCCAAGGCCACCAAAUUUCUUCGGAAGACAAAGUUUCUCCAACGAUGGGAUGUGAAACUUGCUUCGAUUACCAUUAGUACCCCAAAGAAAGUCCCUACAACUUUUGUCAAUAGCUGCUUUAAUUUUUUAAGGGAGCAUGAACAAACUCAUCCAAUAUUUUCUAACCCCCAAAAGAACUGAGUGAGUCAGUUGCGCCCUUCCUCCAAAAGAAAAUUUUCUUCAAGCCCAGUUAUGUAAGUUCUUAUGAACUUUUCCAAUUAUAAUCCCACAAUCAAAGGCUCGCCAUUUUGUUGGUCUAAUUUGAACACCAAGGUAUUUAAGGGGGAAUCUUCCCUCAUCCAUUUGCAGCACAUUCAAAAGUAAUUGGUUACAGUCAUCAUGGACCCCUCCAAAGUACACAGUGGACUUGGAUUUGUUGGCUACAAGAUCUGUUGAUUCACUAAAGACAAUAAAAGCCUUAUGAACAAGCUUAACAGAUUUUUUAUUAACUCUACAAAAGAUGAUGAGAUCAUCCACAAAAUAGAGGUUCACCAGCCCCAAGGUCUUGCAAAGAGGGUGAAACCCGAAGUCUAUCACCUUAGAUUUUUGGAUAAGUAAUCUAGUCAGAUACUCCAUGAUAAGCACAUAAAGUAGGAGGGACAUUAGAUCCCCUUGACAAAGACCCUUCUCACCUUUGGAUGACCCUUGUAGCUGCCGAUUCAACAAAAGAGAAUAAGAGGCUCUAUGAAGACAUUUUAUGAUCCAAGAAAUGAAUUUGGAAGGGAAACAAAGGCCUUUUCAAGAUCAGGGACAAACCACCAAUCAACAGUAUCAUACGCCUUGCUCAAAUAAAUUUUCAUUAUGCAUUUAGGAGACAUAUUUUUCUGAGUGUACCCUUAAAUAAAAUCCUGUAAGAUCAGAAUAUUAUGGGCUAGGUACCUGUUCUUGACAAAAGCACCUUUAUUAUCAUGUAUAAGACAAGGAAGAACUUCUGAUAGUCUUGUACAAAUCAUCUUGUGUAAUAUCCAAAUAAGUUUAAUGGUAAAUAUUUAGAGUUUAUAUUUAUAUUUUGAGUUAAUCAUGUAAUAAGUGGGAUUAUGAUCCUACUAAUUUAUUUCAGCAUAAAAUUUAAAUUUUGCAAUAAGUGAGUAAAUAUUUGUAAUUUGUUAAUUACGGAGAUUUAUUCAAAAUACGUGGAUAUAAUAUGAGCUAUUUGUGAAAUAAUAAUAUUUUCAUGUUCGGCGACCCUGGAAACCCGAUUGGAGGUCAAAAAUAUCACAACAAUUUUAGUUAAAAAUAUUUAUGGGAUUAUUAGGAUAAGUUGAUUUUAAAAAUAUCGGGGUAUUUUAAGGUACUCGAAGUUGGCCAAAUACCCUAGAAAUAGAGAUUUCUUAGUGGCUAAGGAAUAAUAAGAUAACUGUUAAUAAUAAAGUUUUUAUUAAUAUUAUAUUAUUAUUAUUAUUAUUAUACAUAUAUAAAAACAAAACUUUUGUUUCGUUUUGUUUCAAAUAUAUGUAUAUAUAUAUUAAGUUUUAAGUUACAACAGUACAGUACGGACGAACGAAGGAACGAAACCCUUGUUCUCUCCCUUCGACAAAACUUUCUCUUCCUAUAUCUAUUUUUUUCAAUUUUCAAUCCAAAACUUAGCAAUCUAAGCUCCGAUAGUAGCAGGACAGCAAAUCCUUGAAAAGGAAAAGUUUAAGGUAUUGUUUAAUUUUGUUUAAAGUUUAAAAACAAUUGGUUUCGUAUAGGGGUUUUGUGAAUUAGAAUAUUUAUGAAGGUUUUGACCUUAUAGAAUUGUUCUUGAGAAGUCAUGGGACUAGUUUCGAUAUUUUCUUGUUGAAUUUGAAGUAAUUUUGAGUUAGAAAUCGAGUUUGGAAUUUUUUAAAGCUUAGUCCGAAUGUUAAUGGCGUUUUUCAUUUAAGGGGUCAAUUUUUAUUUCUAUUAUGUAAGGAUGGUAAUAUUUAUGUUAUAUAUGCACCCUGUGAAGUUUUGAGUGAUUUGGAUACGUUUUGGUAGUGUUUCGGUGAGUGCAAAAAUUGGGAUUUUGGAGUUUUAUAGUUUUUAGAAAUUUCUAAGAGAUCAGAAAUCGUAUUUUUGUCAUAACUUUUGACUUGGGUGUCUGUUUUGGACAUUCUAUAUACUUUUUCAAAGCUUGCAACGAGCUCUACAAUAUGGUGUAUGUUUUAGAGUUAAAAUAUAAGUUUUGUUUUAGUGUAUUUAUACCGCGGGAUUUCGUAGAAAAUCCUAGAUUGUCUUACGUGAAUAUUAAGAAGUGUUUUGGGAUAAACACUUAUUGGUUUAUCGUUGUUGUGACAUACGGCCGAGAUCAUCGAGGAUAGUUCUCCACUUGGGUUGGCCAAAAUGUAUGAACCUAGAUUAAAGGUAAGAAAAUUAUAUUGUACUGCAUAGUACAUUGUAUGUAAUACAAUUAGUAUUAUUAUGAAUUGAUUAAUAUUGACAUAUAGUUAAUAUUGUUAUAUAUUGAAAAGUAUAUUGUACUGCAUAGUACGUUAUAUGCAAUACAAUUAGUAUUGUUAUGAAUUGAUUAAUAUUGAGAUAUAGUUAAUAUUGUUAUAUAUAGAAAAGACUGAUUGGUUGAGUAUUGAUAAUGUGAUAAUAUUAUGCAUGUGAUAUAUGGGCUCAACUGAUUAGGUGAUGCAAUUUUCCUAGCGACGUACUGCGCGUAAGUACGGGCGUCAGUGAUAUAUGAUGAGUACCGAGUGUAGGUACGGGCUCACCUGAUUAGGUGAUGCGAUUUUCCUGGCGACAUACUAGGCGUAAGUACGGGCGUGAGUGACGUGAUAAGUAUCUGUGACAGUCAGUAGUCCUAAGAUCCGUAAGGGGAAAUACCGGGUAAGCUGUACAAUCCCACAUCGCCUGGGGAAGGUCAAGUGGGAUGAUUCUGAGACUGUGUAGGUAUGGGACUACACAGUUGAAGAGAGCUUAAAUGGAUUGAUUGGUACUACCUAUGUCAACAAGGUGCAUCUUGUUUUUCGGUAGCCCAUCUCAAAAGAACUUCACAGUUAAGCGAGCUUGACUUGGGAGUAAUUUCAGGAUGCGUGACCUCCUAGGAAGUUUUCCCAGGAAGCGUACGAGUGAGGACAAAGCACGCUGGAAACACUCGUGUUGGUCUGUAGGGUCAGUCAUCAGUCCAUGAAGCAGCCAGAGUGGCGUACUCGUGUAUAAGAGCCAUUCAUUCCGUGGGUGUAAGGACCCAAUGGAGGCUUAAAGCGGGGAUGUUACGAAAUGGUAUCAGAGCCUUGACCCAGCUGGAAGUGUGGUCGCCGAGGACGUCGGACCCCGUAAGGGGGGGUGAUUGUGACAGUCAGUAGUCCUGUGAUUCGUAAGGGGAAAUACCGGGUAAGCUGUACAAUCCCACAUCGCCUGGGGAAGGUCAAGUGGGAUGAUUCGGAGACUGUGUAGGUAUGGGACUACAUAGUUGAAGAGAGCCUAAAUGGAUUGAUUGGUACUACCUAUGUCAACAAGGUGCAUCUUAUUUUUCGGUAGCCCAUCACGAAAGAACUCUACAGUUAAGCGAGCUUGACUUGGGAGUAAUUUCAGGAUGGAUGACCUCCUGAGAAGUUUUCCCAGGAAGCGUACAAGUGAGGACAAAGCACGCUGGAAACACUCGUGUUGGUCUGUAGGGUCAGUCAUGUAACGCUCCAAUAUUUUGCCUUAUUUUACAAAGUGCUAAUUUUGAUGCAUUAAUUAAAAAGAUUCAAAGCUGUUUGAAAAUACACAGUGGGUUUUACAAUAAAUAUGCAAAAAGGGUGAAUGAUCAUUCAUAUUAAAACAAAAUAAGUAGUUGAGUGUAUUUUUCUAAAAAUAAAUAAUAAAUAAAUUUGUAACAUCCCACCGAGCUCAAAAUAAUUUAUUAUAAAAAAAAAACAAAACCAAGGCUCCACCGGCGUUCUAGACCGUUUGCUCGUCCAUAGCCCCUCGCAGUAUACAUACCAGAACUGACCCAGCUCAUCAAACUUACAUUCAAUGUUCUCUGUCUAUUGCCUGUAGGGGGAAAGUAAGGGGGUGAGCUAAAAGCCCAGUAAGGAAAUACUUAACAUACAAUAGCAUUCAAUACACUAAACAUAUCUUAAAAUUCACAAUAAUACGAUUCUUUAUAAUAUUAACGUAUCCAGUCUUAACAAUAGUAUAUACCUUAGCUCAUAAUUGUAAUUUAAAUAACUUCAGAUAUGCAAAGCUAUAUCAUAUACCAUAUAUUUAUACUAAACGAAACCAUUACAUAUAUGUAGGGACCACAACCCUGACAUCAUACUCAUAGCACAAUCAUAGCAAUAACAUAUAAAAAUUAUUUCAAUCAUAUCAUGUCUUUACCAUAACAUUGGCAUAUCAUAGCCAUUACUUACAUAACCCGGGCCUAGCCUGGCCCUACAAUAUCCUGGACCUAAUCUGCCCAUAUAAUAACCUGGGCCUAUGUAGUCCUACCAUUGUUAUAGGAUAGGGUAUCUCUAUAUUCAACAGUAACAUCACUGUAUCAUACCCCACCAUAACAAUGUCAUACACGAAUCAGACAAAUGUGGCAGGUAUCUCUACAUUCAACGGCCUUACCCCGUAUCAUACCCCACCAUGGCCCCUCAUUUGUACCUGAGACGUUAGCAUACAACAUACAACAUACAACAUACAACAUACAACACACCACAUACAUCAUACAACAUACAACGCACAAAUCGUACCAACCAUAAUAUAUAUCGAUUCACAAACUCAUAUUGUGUCCAUACCACACAUUCUCAGUACUAUAUACACAUUCAUAAUAAUACAUCACAAAUAAUAUUUCAAUAGACAAAUAAUUUAAAUUAUGCAGUUCAACACAUAAAACUACUUAAUUUCCUUACCUCAAAUCCCGCUGCUUAAGACUUGUUACCUCGUCACUACUACCUAUAAUAAGACAUGGGUCAAGGCCCUAAUAUUAAAAUUCGUACUCUUACAGUACAGCAGAAAGAUCACUAUUUUUGACCAACAACUACACUAAUUCAGUAAAAGUUGUCUUCAUAAAAAUUAUAGGAAAUUCUGUUAUCUUUCCAAUGAUAUAAAGAUCAUUAAAAAUGGAUUAAAACUGAAGGAGUUAUGAUUGUUUUACUGAAACUAUUUCUGAGAAGGAAUAUGGAGUAACGAAUUAUACGACUUAGCAAAAAUACAAACUUUUGGCAUUGAAAAGUUCAGAACUAGAAGAUAAUAUCUUCAUGAAAGUUUUAGGAAAUUAAAUUCCCUUUCCAAUGAUACUAAAAUCUUUAAAAUCGGAGUUAUAACGUAAGAGAUAUAGAUAUUAUACCGAAACAGUUUUCUAGAAAUCCUGAAACAAAUGGAUUUCGAACUACAGCAAUAAAACAAUAAUUUUGACUUAGAAUAAUCAAUAAUUAGUGAAUGGUUUCUUCAUAAAACAUUUAGAAAAUUGAAUUAUCUUUUCAACGGUACCAAGAUCGCUAGAAUCAGAUCAUUAUUCAGAGAGAUAUUUGAAUUUUACUGAGACAACUUAUAUAGAAAAUAUGAAAAACGAUUUACAACAAACAGUGUAGAAAUUCUAAUUUUUGACAUAGAUAAAUUUCGAUUCAGUAAAACCUUUCUUCAUAAGAAUUAUGGGAAAUUUAAUAAGCUUUCUAUAGGCACCAAGAUUGCGAGAAUCGGAUGAGUAUUUAAAGAGAUAUGACAGUUUUACUGAGACAUGUUUCAUUCUGAAAAAUAAGAAAAGGAGACCUACGAAUAUUCUCCUAUUGUGAUCAAUAAAUAAGUAAAUGUAGAGUUUCUUACCUCAAAUACAUCGAGCUGCUUGGAUCGAUAGACAUAAGAUGAUGGUGAUCAAAGAUGAGAGUGAAGAGUGGUAUAGAUUUGGCUAAGGAUGUAAUGGAAAGAUGAUUUGAAAAUUUUAGGGUUAGUCUUGCUCAGAUAGGUGGGAAGAAUAGAACGAUAUAAUUUUAGGGUUAAUGAAACCUAUACUAUUCUGACUCUUAUUAGGUUUAGUUUUAUGAAUAAUAAUAAUAUUAACCUAAUAGCAAUAAUAAUAUGAUAAAUUAUUAAAUAAACAAAUAUCUUACUUUUAAAUUUAAAUUGUAAGUUCUCAAUCUCGUAACUUUAGGGGUUAGUUUUGACCUAGAAAAAUUACGAAUUAUGAUAUAGCUAUUUCUACAAAAUUUAUAGAUCUUUGAAUUAUCUUUCCAACGCCACUGGAAUCACCUCAAUCGGAGUUAUAAAACUCCAGAUACGGUCAUUUUCGUAAAACAGUUUCUAAACCUGCGAAUUUCUCUAAACUUACGAUUUUUCUAACAUUAAUCAAAUAAUAAUAUUAUUUAAUACUACUUAUACAAUUAAUUAAAUCUAAUAAAUAUAUUAUAAAAAUCUAAUGGACUUUCAUAUCGGGCUUUAAUUAAACGAUUACCUACUUAUGAAAAUAUCAUAAUAUUUUACUUUCGUAGUUAAUACAACUUUAACUUUCUUUAAAAAAAUGGUACAACUACUCUAAGCAAUAAUAUCAACUCACUAACAACACAAAUAAAUGAAUUAAUUAUCCUCGCACAAUUAAUAUCCAAACGAAAAGUUAAAUACUAUUUUAAACUGGAUAUUACAAGUCAUCAGUCCAUGAAGCAGCCAGAGUGGCGUACUCGUGUAUAAGAGCCAUUCAUUCCGUGGGUGUAAAGACCCGAUGGAGGCUUAAAGCGGGGAUGUUACGAAAUGGUAUCAGAGCCUUGACCCAGUCGAAAGUGUGGUCGCCGAGGACUUCGGACCCCGUAAGGGGGGGUGAUUGUGACAGUCAGUAGUCCUGUGAUUCGUAAGGGGAAAUACCGGGUAAGCUGUACAAUCCCACAUCGCCUGGGGAAGGUCAAGUGGGAUGAUUCGGAGACUGUGUAGGUAUGGGACUACAUAGUUGAAGAGAGCCUAAAUGGAUUGAUUGGUACUACCUAUGUCAACAAGGUGCAUCUUAUUUUUCGGUAGCCCAUCACGAAAGAACUCCACAGUUAAGCGAGCUUGACCUGGGAGUAAUUUCAGGAUGGGUGACCUCCUGAGAAGUUUUCCCAGGAAGCGUACGAGUGAGGACAAAGCACGCUGGAAACACUCGUGUUGGUCUGUAGGGUCAGUCAUCAGUCCAUAAAGCAGUCGGAGUGGCGUACUCGUGUAUUAGAGCCAUUCAUUCCGUGGGUGUAAGGACCCAAUGGAGACUUGAAGCAGGGACAUUACAGUAUUGGGCGUAGGUACGAGCUCGUCUAAUUAGACGAUGCGAUAUAUUGGUGCCAUAUUGUGGCACGGGCUCACCUGAUUAGGUGAUGCAAUUAUAUGAUAUAUGGGUGCAGGUUUUUGGCACAGGCUCACCUAAUUAGGUGAUGCAGUUAUGCGACAUAUGGGUGCCAGGCUAUCGCAUGGGCUUACCUGAUUAGGCGAUACAAUACAAGAUUGUCAGAUUAAAGCGUCGACUUACCUGAUUAGGCAACAUGAUGUAUGAAGGUGGUUGCUUUAUGAGGUAAAGCCAAAGAAAAGCCAGAUCAACUAUGAGGUGGCAGUCUUCUCCAGCAUUGUACAUUUAGAUUUCAUCUUAUGAACAUUGGGUGAUAGUUUGAUUCUUAUUGUGUAUAACUGACAAUGUUCGAAUAAUAAACUAUAUGAAUGUUAUUAUUAGUUUUCUUGCUGAGUCCUUGUUACUUACAGGUGCUAUGCGGUGCAGGUAAAGGCAAUGAAAAGCUAGAUCAACCAUGAGGUGACAGUAUUCUCCAGCAAUGUACAUAUUGACCUCACUUGCCUGCAUACCGAGUUGCCAGGAGUUGUUUUGGACUGGUUGUAUCGGUUGUGUAUUUUGAUUUUAUGUUUAAAUGGUUGUCGUACAUAUUUCUUUAGCAAAACUUUUUAUAACAGAGAUUCUCGGAACACACUUUUUAUGCCGUUAUAAUGUCCGUUUUUAGUGUUUUACUUUAGUGAAGUUUUUAAUAUUA